AGGGAAUUGGGGGCACAACUGCAACAAUUACUUAAAAUUUUUACUCUAGUCUAGUGCAACUGUUUAUAUAUUUCUUGCACCCCAGUUCCUGUAUCAUCAUGCAUAAUUGAGUCACUUGGCCUUGUUUCCAUAUCAGAGUUAUGGCUUCUUAGCAGCAAGUCUUCCAUGGAAACCACUGCUCCCAACAGUAUAUGGGUGUUCUUUGCGUCUCACUGGUUUCUGCCAAUUCUAAGCUGAUGGCAGGCUGGACAUCUUCCAGCUACGAAGGGAAGUAAGCAUGUUAUGUCUUUUGUCUGCUGCAAAAGUUACUUUGGCUGACCACUGCAGCUCUCAAUGUUGUUCAUCUCUUCGUAUGUGCUUGUGCUGCAAUUUACAUUUUUUAUUUUGUUUAC